GGAAUAUUGCGCAAUGGAGGAAACUCUGACGCAGUGACGCCGCGUAUAGGAAGAAGGUUUUCGGAUUGUAAACUAUUGUCGUUAGGGAAGAGAAAGGACGGUACCUAAGGAGGAAGCCCCGGCUAACUAUGUGCCAGCAGCCGCGGUAAUACAUAGGGGGCGAGCGUUAUCCGGAAUUAUUGGGUGUAAAGGGUGCGUAGACGGGAAAUUAAGUUAGUAGUGAAAUCCCCAGGCUUAACUUGGGAAUUGCUACUAAGACUGGUUUUCUUGAGUACUGGAGAGGAAAGUGGAAUUCCUAGUGUAGCGGUGAAAUGCGUAGAUAUUAGGAGGAACACCAGUGGCGAAGGCGACUUUCUGGACAGAAACUGACGUUGAGGCACGAAAGUGUGGGGAGCAAACA
rnacentral:rRNA from 1 species